rfam:Pseudogymnoascus sp. WSF 3629 unplaced genomic scaffold scaffold_376, whole genome shotgun sequence.
GGCCUUAUAGUAUAAGGGUAGCAUCUCUAGUUCUAAAUUAGGAGGUUAUAGGUUUAAAUCCCACUAGGGCUA